rnacentral:rRNA from 1 species
UACGUAGGGUGCAAGCGUUGUCCGGAAUUAUUGGGCGUAAAGAGCUCGUAGGCGGUCUGUCGCGUCGGUCGUGAAAACUUGGGGCUUAACCCUGAGCUUGCGGUCGAUACGGGCAUGACUGGAGUUCGGCAGGGGAGACUGGAAUUCCAGGUGUAGCGGUGAAAUGCGUAGAUAUCUGGAGGAAUACCGGUGGCGAAGGCGGCAUCCUGGACCGGCAUUGACGCUGAGGAGCGAAAGCCAGGGGAGCAAACGGG